GAUGAACGCUGGCGGCGUGCCUAAUACAUGCAAGUCGAGCGAACGGACGAGGAGCUUGCUUCUCUGACGUUAGCGGCGGACGGGUGAGUAACACGUGGAUAACCUACCUAUAAGACUGGGAUAACUUCGGGAAACCGGAGCUAAUACCGGAUGAUAUUUUGAACCGCAUGGUUCAAUAGUGAAAGACGGUCUUGCUGUCACUUAUAGAUGGAUCCGCGCUGCAUUAGCUAGUUGGUAAGGUAACGGCUUACCAAGGCAACGAUGCGUAGCCGACCUGAGAGGGUGAUCGGCCACACUGGAACUGAGACACGGUCCAGACUCCUACGGGAGGCAGCAGUAGGGAAUCUUCCGCAAUGGGCGAAAGCCUGACGGAGCAACGCCGCGUGAGUGAUGAAGGUCUUCGGAUCGUAAAACUCUGUUAUUAGGGAAGAACAUAUGUGUAAGUAACUGUGCACGUCUUGACGUUACCUAAUCAGAAAGCCACGGCUAACUACGUG
rnacentral:rRNA from 1 species